rnacentral:rRNA from 1 species
UAGGGAAUCUUCGGAAAUGGGGGGAACCCUGACCGAGCAACGCCGCGUGAGUGAAGAAGGUUUUCGGAUCGUAAAGCCCUGUCGUGAAGGAAGAACGAGUGAGAGAACGGAAAGUUCAUGCUGUGACGGGACUUAACCAGAAAGGGACGGCUAACUACGGGCCAGCAGACGCGGUAAUACGAAGGUCCCGAGCGUCGUCCGGAUUUAUUGGGCGUAAAGCGAGCGCAGGCGGGUAGAAAAGUCUGAAGUGAAAGGCAGUGGCUCAACCAUUGUAGGCUUUGAACACUGUUUAACUUGAGUGCAGCAGCGGAGGGUGGAUUUCCCUGUGUGGCUGUGAAAUGCGUCAAUAUAUGGAUGAACACCGGUGUCGUCUGCGGCUCUCUCGUCUAUACCUGACGCUGAGUCUCGAAAGCGUGGGUAGCGACCCGG